UCUCCGUAGGUGAACCUGCGGAGGGAUCAUUACUGAGUGAGGGCUUCGGUCCGACCUCCAACCCUUUGUGUGAACCAAACUUGUUGCUUCGGGGGCGACCCUGCCUUAGUGCGAGGCGCCCCCGGAGGCUCAUCAAACACUGCAUCUUUGCGUCGGAGUCUUAAUGAAUUUAAACAAAACUUUUAACAACGGAUCUCUUGGUUCUGGCAUCGAUGAAGAACGCAGC
rnacentral:misc_RNA from 1 species